AUUGAACGCUGGCGGCGUGCUUAACACAUGCAAGUCGAUCGGUAACAGGUGUAGCAAUACAUGCUGACGAGAGGCGGACGGGUGAGUAAUGCUUGGGAAUCUGCCUAUUAGUGGGGGACAACCCGGGGAAACGUCGGGCUAAUACCGCAUACGCUCUACGGAGGAAAGCCGGGACCGCAAGGCCUGGCGCUAAUAGAUGAGCCCAAGUCGGAUUAGCUAGUUGGUAGGGUAACGGCCUACCAAGGCGACAAUCCGUAGCUGGUCUGAGAGGACGACCAGCCACACCGGAACUGAGACACGGUCCGGACUCCUACGGGAGGCAGCAGUGGGGAAGUAUUGGACAAUGGGGGCGAACCCUGAUCCAGCGACGCCGCGUGGGUGAAGAAGGCCUGCGGAUUGUAAAGCCCUUUCGGUGGGGAAGAAAAGUCUCGACCUAAUACGUCGGGACCUUGACCGUACCACUAAAGAAGCACCGGCUAACUCUGUGCCAG
rnacentral:rRNA from 1 species